rnacentral:tRNA from 1 species
AAGGGUAUAUCUCAGUGGUAGAGUGUGUGCUUAGCAUGCACAAGGUCAUGGGUUCGAUCUCCAGUACCUCCA